rnacentral:rRNA from 1 species
AUUGAACGCUGGCGGCAUGCCUUACACAUGCAAGUCGAACGGCAGCACGGGAGCAAUCCUGGUGGCGAGUGGCGAACGGGUGAGUAAUAUAUCGGAACGUGCCCAGUAGUGGGGGAUAACUGCUCGAAAGAGCAGCUAAUACCGCAUACGACCUGAGGGUGAAAGGGGGGGAUCGCAAGACCUCUCGCUAUUGGAGCGGCCGAUAUCAGAUUAGCUAGUUGGUGGGGUAAAGGCCUACCAAAGCAACGAUCUGUAGUUGGUCUGAGAGGACGACCAGCCACACUGGGACUGAGACACGGCCCAGACGCCUACGGGAGGCAGCAGUGGGGAAUUUUGGACAAUGGGCGCAAGCCUGAGCCAGCAAUGCCGCGUGCAGGAAGAAGGCCUUCGGGUUGUAAACUGCUUUUGUCAGGGAAGAAAUCCUCUAGGUUAAUACCCUUGGGGGGAUGACGGUACCUGAAGAAUAAGCACCGGCUAACUACGUGCCAGCAGCCGCCGUAAUAC